rnacentral:ncRNA from 1 species
AGAACAAUGUAGGUAAGGGAAGUCGGCAAGUUCGAUCCGUAACUUCGGGACAAGGAUUGGCUCUGAGGACUGGGCCCGUCGGGCUGGGGUCCGAAGCGGGUGUGGCACUGCACAGGGACUGGGCGAGACUGGCCGUGAAAGCGGUCCGGUCCGGCCCGGACCAGCGUCGAGGCCUUCCCGUGGAAUGCCUCAGCUGCGCGGCGCACCGGGCACAAAGCUCGGAGCGACCGUUUCGGCGGGCAACUAACAGCCGACUCAGAACUGGCACGGACUAAGGGAAUCCGACUGUCUAAUUAAAACAUUCCCCCCGGGGGUUGACUCAGGAGAAUUCCUGGGAAGUACUGGCUAGGAUCUGUACUUAGAGAGUCUCAACCACGGGGGUAAAAUAUCAGGUACUAUUGUACCUUAUUCUUCACAGGACUAGAACCCGGGUAUUGUACCUAGGAUGGGAUCAGGCUCGACAGGGACCGUACUGGUACUGGCUUGUCCGCUCCCUUGGCUGUGGUGGAGCUGAUAAGAAAAACUUGGUGGAGGGCGUGGGACAAUGCCUGUAUAACCAUAAUGGUAAAGUUAGGGCGUCCUCGUCUCUCCGUAGAGCGUGUCUAAUUAAAACAAAGCAUUGCGAUGGCCGGUGACCGGUGCUGACGCAAUGUGAUUUCUGCCCAGUGCUCUGAAUGUCAAAGUGAAGAAAUUCAUCCAAGCGCGGGUAAACGGCGGGAGUAACUAUGACUCUCUUAAGGCAAUAGCAUUGGAUUACACAAUCAUAUAAAGAUCAUCUCUUCACUGCCAAGGUAGGCAAUUU